rnacentral:rRNA from 1 species
AUUGAACGCUGGCGGCAGGCCUAACACAUGCAAGUCGAGCGAGAAAGGUCUUCGGACUGAGUACAGCGGCGGACGGGUGAGUAAUGCGCAGGAAUCUACCUGGUAGUGGGGGAUAGCUCGGGGAAACUCGAACUAAUACCGCAUACGCCCUACGGGGGAAAGCGGGGGACCUUCGGGCCUCGCGCUAUCAGAUGAGCCUGCGUAGGAUUAGCUUGUUGGUGAGGUAAAGGCUCACCAAGGCGACGAUCCUUAGCUGGUCUGAGAGGAUGAUCAGCCACACUGGAACUGAGACACGGUCCAGACUCCUACGGGAGGCAGCAGUGGGGAAUAUUGCGCAAUGGGCGAAAGCCUGACGCAGCCAUGCCGCGUGUGUGAAGAAGGCCCUUGGGUUGUAAAGCACUUUCAAUUGGAAGAAAGGUGCGUGUUAAUAGCACGUAGCUGUGACGUUACCUUUAGAAGAAGCACCGGCUAACUCCGUGCCAGCAGCCGACGG